CGCAUCCGUCACUCUGCCUCUCCCAACCCUAUCCUCUUCUCUCCCAACCCGACCUCCUCCCCCACGCGGCGCCACUACCCCUUCCAACAUCGUCACCUCCUCCUGGCCUCAUCCUUCAGACCUCCACGAGGCAGAUCCAUGGAGUCUGAACCCAACGAAGGUGCAGGCAUGGGAGACUCCUUUCUGCUUCGCCCCUUCCUCAACGGGCCUAGUAGCUCCGCACGGUGGGGGUGAUGAGAACGGGGAGCCACGCCUCUGACCGCCGGCAGCACCUCACCGGCUUCUCCGGGCUCCGACCUUCCACCGGCAAAUUCCGGCCAGCGGCUGCUAGGGCCAGCAAUGCGGCAGCAGCGGGUGCGUAAGAGUGGGCCUAGGCUGCCGGCGUGGCGGCACCACGGCAGCGGCCCGUGGCGACGGAGCAGAUCCAUAUCGUCGUUCAGGUGGGGUCGCUCUCCCCGGAUCUCUGUCGUGCUGCACUAGGCUUUCUCCUCCUCUGCGCCGUCGGGAAGGGCUCCGCGCCGCUUGGAGGGCCUCCUCCACUCGCCGCCAACAAGGGAUCUGCGCUGUCGAGGAGGGCUUCAGGAAGGGCUUCCUCCGCGGGCGUUGUCCAUGUGCGUCUGUCCGACUCCAUCACCAAGCCGCUUGCGUGCAUCACGCCAUCACCUAAAUCUGCUGCAUCAACACCUUGUACCAGUCAUUCUUUGGGACUCAUCUCCCUGCAGUGAUAGAUGGAUCCUACACUGCCGUCGUGCCAACCAUUUCCCCAAUCCUGAAGUAUCAGCACACUCAAAAUAGGUGCGCUCGGCUACUUUCCUCUGAUGAUAAUGGAUCGAUGAAUGGAUUACUGAGCUAGCAAAUCAGUUUUGACCGAAACAGGGCGAGAAAAAGACUGGUGUGUGUUGGCAAUGGUUAUCUGGCUGUUUAAUUUUUGCUAGGCAUUUUCUGUCUUGUGCUACUAAAUCAGAUUAUACAUUGCAGUUCCUGGUAUGCUACACCAUAACCUUAACGCUUUCCCUUCAAGUUUAACUUUUCCAAAGGCAUUUGAAUUUUUGAAUCACGCGGGAUAUAUUGACUGGGACUCUGCACUAGCUCGCUGGGUUGCUUUUUUCUUUUGCAAGUUUUAAAUUUUUGUUCAUGAUUCUGAUGUUUGCAGCAUAAAGCCCUUGAUAGGGUGCUCGAAGAGGUGAAAGGUUGGAGUGCCUAGUGGAGUGUGAAUCUAAGUGCUGCUUCACAGGUAGGGGAAUUUUUGCUAUUUCAGCUACUUGCCAUGUUUGCUCUGAACUUUCCAUUAUCCAUUGUUUCAGCUAGUCAUAAGUCAUAACUCUGCUUGAGAGUGUGGAGUUCCUGAAAAUCUGUGUAGGAUUAAAGAGUCAUGAGCUACUUGCAAAUCACAUAUCCUAGUGCAGGAAAUAGAAGGUAACUACUUGCAGCUCAAUCAUCCACAAAAUUGUUUUCUUUAGGGCUAGCAGUUCAACAGUCACUGAAGCACAUGUGAAGCUCUUCUAUAGUCAUUCAAGCACAAGUCCCUGGAAAUAAGGCUGCAUAUUAGAUAAUAGUGGCUUUAGAGAUAAUAGUUGAUAUGAAUAACUUCAAUUGAUUCACCUGUGUAUGUGUAAUGUAAUCAAAUGCAUUAAACAUGUGUAUUUGUGAUUGAUAUAAGAUCUAUUUCAUGUCCUCUUUUUUUUGUUUUUUUCAA